CGCGUAGGCGGCUGGGUAAGCGUGUGGUGAAAGCCCGGGGCUCAACCCCGGGUCGGCCAUGCGAACUGUCCAGCUGGAGCACGGUAGAGGCACAUGGAAUUCCGGGUGUAGCGGUGGAAUGCGUAGAGAUCCGGAAGAACACCGGUGGCGAAGGCGGUGUGCUGGGCCGUGGCUGACGCUGAGGCGCGACAGCGUGGGGAGCAAACAG
rnacentral:rRNA from 1 species